GCAACUUAGUGGGGGAGCAUCUGCUUUGAAUGCAGAAGGUUUCAGGUUCAAUUCCCGGCGUCUCCA